rnacentral:rRNA from 1 species
GUUUCGUGCCUUCGGGAACUCAAACACAGGUGCUGCAUGGCUGUCGUCAGCUCGUGUCGUGAGAUGUUGGGUUAAGUCCCGCAACGAGCGCAACCCUUGUCCUUAGUUGCCAGCAUUUAGUUGGGCACUCUAAGGAGACUGCCGGUGACAAACCGGAGGAAGGUGGGGACGACGUCCAGUCAUCAUGGCCCUUACGUGUAGGGCUACACACGUGCUACAAUGGCAUAUACAGAGGGAUGC